rnacentral:rRNA from 1 species
UAAUACGUAGGGGGCAAGCGUUGUCCGGAUUUAUUGGGCGUAAAGCGCUCGCAGGCGGCCCAACACGUCGUGCGUGAAAGACCCCGGCUCAACUGGGGAGGGUCGUGCGAUACGAUUGGGCUCGAGGCCAGUAGGGGGACGCGGAAUUCCGGGUGUAGUGGUGGAAUGCGUAGAGAUCCGGAGGAACACCAGCGGCGAAGGCGGCGUCCUGGACUGGUACUGACGCUCAGGAGCGAAAGCGUGGGGAGCGAUCCGGAUUAGAUACCCGGGUAGUCCACGCCGUAAACGAUGAGUACUAGGUGUCGGGGGUAUCGACCCCCUCGGUGCCGCAGCUAACGCGAUAAGUACUCCGCCUGGGGACUACGGCCGCAAGGCUA